rnacentral:misc_RNA from 1 species
GGGUGACAUGGAUGGCUCGCUGGAUUUCUGGGCCUACAACACUGAUGGAAAUUGCAUGCGGCUUUUUGUAUCAUCAAAACCUUGCCCUUAUCAAACUGUUCCAACAAAGGUUAUUACUGUUCGGCCAUUUGUUACAUUUACCAAUAGACUUGGUCAAGAUAUAUUUUUGAAAUUAAGCAGUGAAGAUGAGCCAAAGGUUUUGCGUGCAUCUGAUGUCAGAGCCUCUUUU